UGCUGAAGCAACAAAUGCCCUGCUUCCAGGAAAAGCCUCUAAGCAUCAGGUAACAUCAAAUCGUACCCCAAACCGACACAGGUGGUCAGGUAGAGAAUACCAAGGCGCUUGAGAGAACUCGGGUGAAGGAACUAGGCAAAAUGGUGCCGUAACUUCGGGAGAAGGCACGCUGACACGUAGGUGAAGUGAUUUACUCACGGAGCUGAAGUCAGUCGAAGAUACCAGCUGGCUGCAACUGUUUAUUAAAAACACAGCACUGUGCAAACACGAAAGUGGACGUAUACGGUGUGACGCCUGCCCGGUGCCGGAAGGUUAAUUGAUGGGGUCAGCGCAAGCGAAGCUCCUGAUCGAAGCCCCGGUAAACGGCGGCCGUAACUAUAACGGUCCUAAGGUAGCGAAAUUCCUUGUCGGGUAAGUUCCGACCUGCACGAAUGGCGUAAUGAUGGCCAGGCUGUCUCCACCCGAGACUCAGUGAAAUUGAACUCGCUGUGAAGAUGCAGUGUACCCGCGGCAAGACGGAAAGACCCCGUGAACCUUUACUAUAGCUUGACACUGAACAUUGAGCCUUGAUGUGUAGGAUAGGUGGGAGGCUUUGAAGUGUGGACGCCAGUCUGCAUGGAGCCGACCUUGAAAUACCACCCUUUAAUGUUUGAUGUUCUAACGUGGACCCGUAAUCCGGGUUGCGGACAGUGUCUGGUGGGUAGUUUGACUGGGGCGGUCUCCUCCUAAAGAGUAACGGAGGAGCACGAAGGUUGGCUAAUCCUGGUCGGACAUCAGGAGGUUAGUGCAAUGGCAUAAGCCAGCUUGACUGCGAGCGUGACGGCGCGAGCAGGUGCGAAAGCAGGUCAUAGUGAUCCGGUGGUUCUGAAUGGAAGGGCCAUCGCUCAACGGAUAAAAGGUACUCCGGGGAUAACAGGCUGAUACCGCCCAAGAGUUCAUAUCGACGGCGGUGUUUGGCACCUCGAUGUCGGCUCAUCACAUCCUGGGGCUGAAGUAGGUCCCAAGGGUAUGGCUGUUCGCCAUUUAAAGUGGUACGCGAGCUGGGUUUAGAACGUCGUGAGACAGUUCGGUCCCUAUCUGCCGUGGGCGCUGGAGAACUGAGGGGGGCUGCUCCUAGUACGAGAGGACCGGAGUGGACGCAUCACUGGUGUUCGGGUUGUCAUGCCAAUGGCACUGCCCGGUAGCUAAAUGCGGAAGAGAUAAGUGCUGAAAGCAUCUAAGCACGAAACUUGCCCCGAGAUGAGUUCUCCCUGAGACUUAGAGUCUCCUGAAGGAACGUUGAAGACGACGACGUUGAUAGGCCGGGUGUGUAAGCGCAGCGAUGCGUUGAGCUAACCGGUACUAAUGAACCGUGAGGCUUAACCUUACA
rnacentral:rRNA from 1 species